rnacentral:tRNA from 1 species
GGGCGGUUAGCUCAGCCGGUUAGAGCGCCACUCUUACAAAGUGGAGGCCGGAGGUUCAAGUCCUCCACCGCCCACCC